rnacentral:rRNA from 1 species
UACGGAGGAUUCGAGCGUUAUCCGGAUUUAUUGGGUUUAAAGGGUGCGUAGGCGGUUUAUUAAGUUGAGGGUCAAAUAGCGAGGCUUAACCUUGUUGCGCCUUCAAAACUAAUAAGCUAGAGUAUGGAUGAGGUAAGCGGAAUCAGGUAAGUAGCGGUAAAAUGCAUAGAUAUAUCUGGGAACACCGAUAGCGUAGGCAGCUUACGAAUACAUUACUGACGCUGAGGCACGAAAGCGUGGGGAGCGAACAGG